GAGGAUUCCUGCAGGUAGUUGGAAAGAGACCACAGACAUUGAGGGAAGCUUACUCAGGACCUUUUCCUCACCCAGUCUCUCCGGCCAAGUAGUGCUGAAAGCCUGAGGAUGAGCUACUUUGUGGAUUCCACAGCCAGUGGCCCUGCCCCUUAUUCAGCAGUGCGUCCUGCGGUGGCGAGGCAGGGACCCAUCAACUCCUACGAAGAUCCUCGAAUGGCCUGUGGUUUCCAGUCCAGUUAUCACCCGCAAAGAGCUUACUACCCCUUCUGGGAUGAGAUGGCCACUCAGGAAGUUCCCACUGGUCUGGAACACUGUGGCUCAGGUAGGAGCAUGAACAGAGGUUCGGGGUGCGGAUAGAGAUGAAGGACAGUGAAGUGUGAUGAGGGCUGCAUUCUCUGUAGCAACAACAGCUGCCGCGGCUUAUGUGGGGACAAGAUGCUACUGUUCUCCGGUGGAAAGUCCCCGGACUUCUCCAUAAUUCCGAGUUGCUUUCUUCUCCAACAACAGGAAGAUGAAACUCUAGGAAUGAGCCCAAGAGGGGUUGCUUCAGGUCUCCAUUCUGUAAAUAGUUCUGUCCACUGUGCAUUUCCUGAGAGUUACCCGUUGCAGCCUCAUUGUUGACAAAGGGCCUAGAAGGUCUGUGGUCCUGAAGGAAGAGCUGGAUAAACAGUUGGCCUUCUUACAAAACAUCAUUUCUUUCAUUCAUCUUCUUUCCCGCAUUGUCCUCGACCUCUUCGCCUGUGCCCACCUGCGUCUGGCUUCUUUCUGGUCCGCCCCCUCUCUCCCUCCUCUCAGCUCUCCUUUGCAGACCUCCUUCCUCUCCUCCCAGCAUUCUCUUCUCUCCCAGGCUUGCUGCUCAUGGUGCUGCCCCCUGGUGAUCAGGAAUCAAACUCCUCCAGAGAGUUCUCCCCCGGGUCUUGUCUCCCAAAGACCCGACAGGUUUUGAGUGUCCUUACCCCCAUUCUGUUUUGCCGAAGUCACUGGGUGUCUCACAAAUUCCAUUAGUCUGUGCUUACCUGCUAGCGUUUUUGUUAGUUUCUUUUUACUGCAAAAUGUAAACCUUGAUUUGGGGAUUCUGAAGUGGUGGGUUCUGCUAUUAAGUUCAAUGGAUCAUGAGACCAGAUUAUGUAUCCAAAUACCAAAAAGCCAGUUCAAAUCUGUAUUUUCUUCCAGGAUGAAUUCUUAGCCUAAGAAAUCUCAUUACUCUCACAAAUGGAAAAUAUAUAAUUCCGGGGGUGCCUGGGUGGCUCGGUGGGUGAAGUGUCCAACUCUUGGUUUCAGCUCAAGUCAUAAUCUCAUGGUUUGUGAGUUCAAGCCCCAUGUUGGGCUCAGGGCUGACAGAGCAGAGCCUGCCUGGGAUUCUCUCUUUCUUUCUCUCAGCCCCUCCCCUGCUCACACACUCUCUCUCAAAAGAAACAGAUAAACUUAAAAAAAUAAUAAAAUAAAAUAUGUAAUUCUGAGGCUAACAUAGGGAGAAAGCCACUGGGGCACUAACUUAAAAAUAUGUAAUUCUGAGGCUAACACAGGGAGAAAGCCACUGGGGGACUAACUUAAAUGCAACUUUUUGUUUAAUGUUUCUUUACUCCACAUAACGAUACUACUUUUUAUAAUAGUGGAGAGGGAACACAAGUGUUAGUUUUGUUGCCCGUUCUUCGUCUUUGACCAGAAAUACCAAGACACAAAGCAAGAUGCUGUAGCAUCUUGGUGGGAGUUGGAAGGAAGGCAUGUGAGUUGCUUUCCAGUUGCCUGGCUCUUCUUUAGGGCAGAAUGAAAUCAAUCCUUGUGUUCCCUAGUCUCUCAAGUCAAUAGCCAUUGAUAUUUGUCAUAUUCUUUGGGGCACUGCCCUUGGAUUUCAGACAUCAGACAUUAUGCUGUCACUUUCUGCUUGGUUCUCCCAAGCAUAAAUACAA